GGAGAUUUAGCUCAGUGGUAGAGCGCUUGCCUAGGAAGCGCAAGGCCCUGGGUUCGGUCCCCAGCUCUG
rfam:Rattus norvegicus chromosome 13, whole genome shotgun sequence.